CGGUACCCCACCGCGCGAAGGUAGCAUAAUCACUUGUUCUUUAAAUAGGGACUCGUAUCAACGGCAUCACGAGGGCUAAACUGUCUCCUCUUUCUAAUCAAUGAACCUGACCUCUUCGUGAAGAGGCGAAGAUACUUAUAUAAGACGAGAAGACCCCAUGGAGCUUAAAACUAAAUAACACCUCUUACAUAAUAGACCAUAAUAAAUAAGAAUCCUGUUACACGUUUUUGGCUGGGGCAUCCAAGGAGUAUAAUGAAACCUCCCUGACGAAUUUACCUUCGAACUACAAUUCUAAGGUAUAGAAAACUAAAGUAAUAUGACCCGACAAUCGAUCAACGAACCAAGUUACCCUGGGGAUAACAGCGCAAUCCAUUUUGAGAGCCCCUAUCGACAAAUGGGUUUACGACCUCGAUGUUGGAUCAGGGCAUCCCAGUGGUGCAGCCGCUACUAAAGGUUCGUUUGUUCAACGAUUAAAGCCCUACGUGAUCUGAGU
rnacentral:rRNA from 1 species